rnacentral:lncRNA from 1 species
UGCCGGGAGCCCUGAAGACGCGGUGGCGGGGCGGCGGGGAGCAGGGCGGGAGUGCCCUGGACUCCGCGGAUUCCUUUGGGGCUGGAGGGCCGCACACGUGUUUUACUCCAACUGUUUGCAACUUUUGAAACCCGGGCAAUCUGGCUUUGGCAUUUGAAAACCAUUUCAAACAGGUGGGGGUUGGGGAGGCUGCCACACUCACCCUGGCGCUCACACUCACGCACACGCGCACGCACUCGCGCCGGCCCUAAGCCUCCUAACCGCCCUCGGCCAGUGGCUGGCCAGGCUGUCGGUCACCCAGCCCGGCUGGUUCGCCGCCCCCCUUGCCGCAGGUCCCACUGAAACCCCCGAGACCCGCCCCGGGGCGCUCGCCGCCUCCCUGCCUGCCCUGCGCUUGCGGGUUCGGGUCCUGGCGCGGGGUCUGCCAGGGUCUCUGCGACCCGGGGGAGGGGGACGGUGGGAUCCUCCGGUUCCCCAACUGGGAUCCCUGUGCGGGUCACACGCGCUCUUACACACACCCGCAUCCUUAAACUUUGGGACCAACUUUUUAGGACACGGGAAACUACAGGCAAGAGAGAGAAGCCAUGGUGCUAGUGUGGGUUCAGGUAUUCAACCAAAAAAGAGAUCCCUCUAGCUUUUCAACUGCCCUGCCAGCAGAGACUGCUGGACCCAGUCAAUCAUCUGCCCCGGCCUCAAGUUCCUGGCAGGGCCGAGAAGCCUGCGGACCUACUCCGGGGCCAGGAGAUAAGGAUCCCCGCCGGGCGCGGACAUGCCCUGCGUCCUGGCGCCCGCGGGGGCGUGAGAGAACUCGGAAUUCGCAGCCCGGGGGUAGCUGCGGCCUCCGGAGGUCGCCCGGGGGUGCGGAUGGAGUGACUUCUGUCCCGGCGAGGUGGCGGACAGAAAGACUCCCAUACCACAGGAAGGCUGCCCUUCCCAAAUACUCCUCAAAUCAGGCUGCUGAGUAGUCUCCCCAGCAGUUUGUUUUCCUCUUUAGUGAUGUAUAAUUUUGUUCAUCUUUGGUCACAGGAGAGAUUCCAAGAAAUGAGGGGGGUACGUUGAAACGAUGAAGAAAGGAUGGACACAGCAGUCGAGGUUGAGAGGUAGGCUCAGGGGUCCACCCUUGUGUGACCUUGAGCAAGCUUGGUGACCUCCGCGCCUCCGUUUCUCGCUGAUCAAAUAAGUAGAACAAGACCUCACAGGGUUCUUGGAAGUAUUACGUGGGAAAACACUUAUAAAGUGGCAAAUAAUAAAAACUCAUUAUAUUCUUAAUAGUAGUAUUACUAUUUGGGAAGAAAAUUGGGAAAUCAUUUGGGGAUUCAAGUUAGUAAGUAUGAUAAUUUAUCCUCUCCUUUCUAGAACUUAGAAAAUAUGGGCAUACUUUGUGUGUUUGUUUUUUGAUGGUGGUGGUGGUGUUUUUAGAAACGUGGUCUUGCUUUGUCCCCAAGCUGGAGUGCAGUAGCUCGACUAGCUGAUUGUAACCUCGAACUUCUGGACUCAAGCAAUCCUACCACCUCAGCCUCCUGAGUAUCUGGAAUUAUAGGCACAUGCCACCAUGCCCAGCUAGUUUUAUUUUUUUGAUUUUUUGUAGACAUGGGGGGGUCUCCCUAUGUUGAUUGCCCAGGCUGGUCUCAAACUCCUGGGCUCAAGCCAACCUCCUGACUCAGCUUCCCAAAGUGCUGGGGUUAUAGAUGUGAGCCACCAUACCUGGUUUAGGCAUACGUUUAAACAUCCUUUUAAAGCAUUGUAGGGUGCUAUUCUAAGCUAAUAAAAGUAAGGAGGGAUGUUGAUGCUUCUCUCUUGGGAUAUCCAGAACUGAAAAUCCCAUUGCAUUGUUGUGUUUCUGAAAAAAGGAGGUGACCAAUUUUCCAUGGCUUUGCUUGGUGAGAGGAACUUUGUCUCCAGCUUUUUUUCAGAAGCAAUCUAGGUCAAUAUGAACAGCACUUCAAAACAUAAAUUAUCAAACCCGAGCACAGAUCCAGCCAAUCAGAAUGUCAAGGAAGGGCUAAGUCAUUUGAACUUUUAAGGUUCCCCUUAUGUGUUGUUGGUACACAACGCUGAGCACCAUAGGUUUAGUAUCUUGAUUCCAAAGCAUUGUUUGGGUCCCAGACCUUUUUGUCAAAUAAACCUGUGAUCCACAUCUCUGUGUAAAAUAAAAACUCAAGGAGGUCAGGACACUUUGACAGUUUGGUUUACUGAUGUAUUAUUCCCAGUUCCUAGAAUGGUGCCUCGUACUAGCAAAUGCUAAAAUAUUUGUCAAAUGACUCUUUCCACAAAAAUGUACAUUUUUACUUUCCAUGUUAGUGGGGAGUCACAGAUUCCCCUGCAAAUCAUUAGUAAGCUUAGUAAGCUUAGCCUUGUGUGUUUCCCCACUUUGCCACUUCAUAUUCUAGUAAAGUGUAAUUGUUUGCUAAGAAUACCCACAACCAACCUUGAAUUAGGAGUCCCCUACCUCUCCACUCAACUCUCACCUCUGCCUGGGGGAGUCCAAGGGCUGGACAAGACCAGGCGUUUUGUGAUUCCUCCCAAUGCAACAACAUCCCCCUCUUGCCAGGAUUCCAGGUGUCACCACAGCAGCUGAGAAAGGAAAGAACUUGGAAUUUAGCAUACGUCAGGUUUUAGAUGUGGAAAAGCCCCAAAAGAAGGAGUAGUACCUGUGGGCACAGAGGGCAAUAUGGAGAGAAUAGACAUUAUUCUAAUUCAGGAAAAGGAAAAAUAAUUUGAACCUUCAAAGUAGCCAAGGCUGCCAGUUUCCAGGAUGCUCCCUCUGCAUCUUCCCGGCUGGUGUUUCACCUGGUCUAGUUCCUGUGUCCCAGACUGGAGAAGUUCAAGGCAGAGAUCAUCUCUCUCCUAUCCAACCUUUGAAACCUCAAUACCAAAAACCAUGAACCAUGCCUUGUGUGGAGUGUGCACCAUACACAGUUGUUGAGUGAAUUGAUGAAGUGUGACAUGAAAUUGUUGAAUAAAUGGAUGAAG